rnacentral:rRNA from 1 species
AAUGAACGCUGGCGGCGCGCCUAAUACAUGCAAGUCGAGCGAGAAGACGUAGCAAUACGUUUGUAAAGCGGCGAACGGGUGAGGAAUACAUGGGUAACCUACCCUAGAGUGGGGAAUAACUAGCCGAAAGGUUAGCUAAUACCGCGUACGCUCCUUGGACUUCGGUUCAGGGAGGAAAGCGAUACCGAGGGUAUCGCGCUCUUGGAUGGGCUCAUGUCCUAUCAGCUUGUUGGUGAGGUAACGGCUCACCAAGGCUUCGACGGGUAGCUGGUCUGAGAGGACGAUCAGCCACACUGGCACUGCGACACGGGCCAGACUCCUACGGGAGGCAGCAGUAAGGAAUAUUGCGCAAUGGGCGAAAGCCUGACGCAGCGACGCCGCGUGGGGGAUGAAGGUCUUCGGAUUGUAAACCCCUUUCGGGAGGGAAGAUGGACGAGCAAUCGUUCGGACGGUACCUCCAGAAGC